rnacentral:lncRNA from 1 species
UUUAAGAAUAGCUUUUCUCUAAGCUGUGCUCUUUUUAAUCUCAUGGAUUAGUUGAAAUGCAGAGAACGCAUGACCUCUCCGCUCUGUCGGUGCCUGGAAUUCAGUAAUUCUAAACCCAUGUAAGGAAGGAACCUUCCCUUUUCCCUCCGCCUUUCCCUCAAUGCUCUGGCCCUGGAGACCCCUGAGGAUAUGGUAGGAUGGCAUGCGUAAGCCUAUGCUCUCUGCUGCCCAGAGAGGGGAGGAGCUGGCAU